rnacentral:rRNA from 1 species
AUGAGCGCUGGCGGCGUGCCUAAUACAUGCAAGUCGAGCGAACAGACGAGGAGCUUGCUCCUCUGACGUUAGCGGCGGACGGGUGAGUAACACGUGGAUAACCUACCUAUAAGACUGGGAUAACUUCGGGAAACCGGAGCUAAUACCGGAUAAUAUAUUGAACCGCAUGGUUCAAUAGUGAAAGACGGUUUUGCUGUCACUUAUAGAUGGAUCCGCGCCGCAUUAGCUAGUUGGUAAGGUAACGGCUUACCAAGGCAACGAUGCGUAGCCGACCUGAGAGGGUGAUCGGCCACACUGGAACUGAGACACGGUCCAGACUCCUACGGGAGGCAGCAGUAGGGAAUCUUCCGCAAUGGGCGAAAGCCUGACGGAGCAACGCCGCGUGAGUGAUGAAGGUCUUCGGAUCGUAAAACUCUGUUAUUAGGGAAGAACAAAUGUGUAAGUAACUAUGCACGUCUUGACGGUACCUAAUCAGAAAGCCACGGCUAACUACGCG